rnacentral:rRNA from 1 species
GAUGAACGCUGGCGGCGUGCCUAAUACAUGCAAGUCGAACGCACAGCGAAAGGAGCUUGCACCUUUCAAGCGUGUGGCCAAAGGGUGAGUAACACGUGGACAACCUGCCUCUACGCUGGGGGACACAUUUGGAAACAGAUGCUAAUACCGAAUAAAACUUAGUUUCCCAUAUCACGAAGAUAAAAAAGGCUUCGUCUACACCUAAGCUAUGAUCCGCGGUGCAUUAGUUAGUUGGUGGGGUAAAGGCCUACCAAGACAAUGAUGCAUACCCGAGUUGAGGGACUGAUCGGCCACAUUGGGACUGAGACACGGCCCAAACUCCUACGGGAGGCGGCAGUAGGGAAUCUUCCACAAUGGGCGAAAGCCUGAUGGAGCAACGCCGCUUGUGUGAUGAAGGCUUUCGGGUCGUAAAGCACUGUUGUAGGGGAAGAACAGCUAGAAUAGGAAAUGAUUUUAGUUUGACGGUACCAUACCAGAAAGGGACGGCUAAAUACGUG